rnacentral:rRNA from 1 species
AUACGGAGGGUGCGAGCGUUAUCAGGAUUUAUUAGGUUUAAAGGGUGUGUAGGCGGGAGCCUAAGUCAGUGUAGAAAUCUCGCAGCUUAACUGCGAAACUGCCAUUGAAACUGGGUUUCUUGAGUAUAGUUGAGGUAGGCGGAAUGUGUAAUGUAGCGGUGAAAUGCAUAGAUAUUACACAGAAAACCGAUUGCGAAGGCAGCUUACUAAGCUAUUACUGACGCUGAUGCACGCAAGCGUGGGUAGCGAACAGGAUUAGAUACCCCAGUAGUCC